CGGCUUUUGUUUAAGGCGUAUGAAAGGUUUUUGUUACAUUUCAGUUGUUAGUUUUAUUUGUGUUAUAGUUACUGUAUAUGCAUUUGUAAUUAAUUGUUGUGUGUUAUUGUUAUUUAUACCCAUCUGUAUUGGGAUUGUUUAGCGUCUCCACUUACUGAGCUACAGCGUAUAAGUUAGGUUAAGUGGUUAGGUAGAUUGAAGUGGCUAAAGAAACAACAUAUUUCUCAUCAAGGCUGAUUUUCCUUGCACGAGGUGGUGGAAAAAACAUGCCAGACGCUUGCAGGAGGGCACUGCGCUCUUGCUUAACGGACGAAGUGGCUUGCCAAUUCAGUUGGGCCAGGACAAAAAGGCAAACGAGUGUUUAAUGCUCUGUAUUUGAAAAUUGCCAUUUUCAGAGGGAUUCUUAAGCAGUUUCUGGACGCCAAGGACAAAGAGAUCGAGGGAGUCAUUAAAGAUUGGCUUAAACCGACUGCUGACUGCUGAGAUAAGAGAAGUCAAAGAAAAGAGGAAAUGAAGAGGACAGUGAUGACAAUGUUGAUAAUACAGUGUACAAUCAGUAGUUUAUAAUUUGUAAACAACUUCAUU